rnacentral:rRNA from 1 species
UACGUAGGUGUCGAGCGUUGUCCGGAAUUAUUGGGCGUAAAGAGCGUGUAGGCGGUUUGGUAGGUCCGUUGUGAAAACUCGAGGCUCAACCUCGAGACGCCGAUGGAAACCAUCAGACUAGAGUCCGGAAGAGGAGAGUGGAAUUCCUGGUGUAGCGGUGAAAUGCGCAGAUAUCAGGAAGAACACCCGUGGCUAAGGCGGCUCUCUAGUACGGUACUGACGCUGAGACGCGAAAGCGUGGGGAGCGAACAGG